GGCUUAGGUGGAGUUGGUGUUGGCGGUGUUACGACCGGUGGGCUUGGUGUUGGUGGCGUAACAACAGGUGGCGGUGGGCACGGUGAUGGCGGUGGCGGUGGGCACGGUGAUGGCGGCGUUACGACGGGUGGAGGCGUAUGAGUGGGUGGUUUAGGGGUGGACGGAGGUGGUUUAACAGUGGGCGGUUUCGUGGGUGGUUUCGGGGUAGACGGAGGAGGUUUAACGGUGGGCGGUUUCGUGGGUGGUUUCGGGGUGGACGGAGGUGGUUUAACGGUGGGCGGUUUCGUGGGUGGUUUCGGGGUGGGAUGAGGUUUGGUAGGGGGUUUCGGAUGUGGGUGUGGUUUGACAGUGGGCGGUUUGGUAGGGGGUUUAGGGUGUGGGUGUGGUUUGACGGUGGGUGGUUUGGGAGGUUUUACUGCCGGUGGUUUAGGCGGUUUGCUAGGAUGUUUAGGCGGUUUGUGGGGGUGAGGUGAUGGUUUAGGAGGGCUACAGUCGCAAGCGAAGGAGACGGCAAGAAAGCCAAGGAAGAGGAAGAUAAGAAAAGAGAG
rnacentral:lncRNA from 1 species